rnacentral:pre_miRNA from 1 species
ACUCUAGUAUUAAUCUCAAUUCAUUUGUAUUGAGGUGGAUUGUGGUGUAACUUAAACUAGUUUACACCAUAAUCCACCUCAACACAUAUGGAUUGGGGUUAAUACUAGA